CUCAGAGGAUCUAGGGUUACUUCUCAUAAACUUCUCAAAUCCUCAGUCAUGGCGACGCAGAUGGGCAAGAAGAGGAAGUUCGUGGCUGAUGGGGUUUUCUUCGCGGAGUUGAUCGAGGUACUGACGAGGGAGCUUGCGGAUGAUGGGUACUCCGGUGUUGAGGUCCGCGUGACACCGAUGCGCACGGAGAUCAUCCGCGCCACCCGCACCCAGAACGUCCUCGGUUGUAAACAGGGUGCUUUGUGCCAUUGCUUAGGCAGAGUCUCUUCGGUACAAGCUUUUAGGUGGCCCAGCUGUUAGAAGGUAUUCUCGGUACUUUCUUCAAGUAGAGUAUUUGAAGAUGUUUGUGCAAGUGGUUUUUGCUAGUGGAGAAAUAUUGCUUUAGGUUAUUGUUAGUGGGAAGCUCAGGACACAGCGUGCAAAGUCAAUGAAGUUCAACGAUGGCUACAUGAUAUCUUCAGGCCAGCCAGUUAAGGAAUACAUUGAUUUUUCUGUGAGACAUGUUCUUCUCCGGCAGGUUUGCUACUAAGUCAAGAUCUUGAUCAUUUCACUUGCGGUUAGCUCUGCUUUUUCAGAUUCCUUUUGGCUAAACCUAUGACCCCAAGAAGCAAGGACCCACCUCAACCAGAUAUUGUAACUAUGCAUGCUCCCAAGGAUGAUGAAGAGUUCAUCCGACCACCAACCGGAACCCAGGAAAUUGAAGUUUAAUGCCACGCGUUGUGUUGAGCUGAAUCAGCUGAUGCAUACCCUAAUUUUUAAUGUAUUUUUCAUCUGUGGUUGUCCAUUUUUAGAUUAAUUCUCACUGAUGGUGUGUGACCGCCCAUGACUUGUGUCUAAAAAGAUUUUAGAGCGGCAGCCCAUCCACUAGAGCCAUGGAAGCUUUGAUUAUAAGAAAAGAAAUAUUUAUAUAUAAAUAUAUAGAUAAGCAA